CAGUAGCCACGGGAAUACGAAGGGGGCUAGCGUUGUUCGGAUUUACUGGGCGUAAAGGGUGCGUAGGCGGACUGAUAAGUCAGGGGUGAAAUCCCAAGGCUCAACCUUGGAACUGCCUUUGAUACUGUUAGUCUUGAGUUCGAGAGAGGUGAGUGGAACUGCGAGUGUAGAGGUGAAAUUCGUAGAUAUUCGCAAGAACACCAGUGGCGAAGGCGGCUCACUGGCUCGAAACUGACGCUGAGGCACGAAAGCGUGGGGAGCAAACAGGAUUAGAGACCCCCGUAGUCCCUGUCUCUUAUAC
rnacentral:rRNA from 1 species